UUUUUUUUGAGACGGAGUCUCGCUCUGUCGCCCAGGCUGGAGUGCAGUGGAGCAAUCUCGGCUCACUGCAAGCUCCGCCUCCCGGGUUCAUGCCAUUCUGCCUCAGCCUCUCCGAGUAGCUGGGACUACAGGCACCCGCCACCACGCCCGGCUAAUUUUUUUGUAUUUUUAGUAGAGACGGCAUUUCACCCUGGUCUUGAUCUCCUGACCUCGUGAUCCGCCCGCCUCGGACUCCCAAAGUGCUGGGAUUACAAGCGUGAGCCACCGCGCCUGGCCGCAAACCAUAUUCUUGUGAAAGCUUAUACUGUUCAUUUCUGCAGGCCUGAAGGGAGGUGGGGCUAGUAAGUCUCAGCCCCUUCUCUGCAAGCCUGUUCUAAACAGCAGUGACAGACAAGGCAUGGUCCACCUUCUAGUCCUUAGAUAUAAUGCCAAGAUAAACAAGUUUGAUUGAUACCCUGGGGUCAAAUUCCUUUUUAUGCUCCAGGUACUGCGGAGAAGGCAUUGUAUAUGGGACACUGGAAGAGGUGUGGGACUGUGUGAAGCCAGCUGUUGGGCAUGGUCCACCUUCUAGUCCUUAGAUAUAAUGCCAAGAUAAACAAGUUUGAUUGAUACCCUGGGGUUAAAUUCCUUUUUGUGCUCCAGGUACUGAGGAGAAGGCACUGUAUAUGGGACACCGGCAGAAGUGUGGGACUGUAUGAACCCGGCUGUUGGGGGCCUGUGAGAGAAGGGGGAUAAGAAUGUGAUUGGUUUUAAAAUGAUCUAAAAUAGAAACUCCACAGAUGGCCUCCGAGAAAUUGAGACUCCAUUCUGUAAAAAGGCACAGAGUCAUAGAAUUGUAGCACUAGAAAGGCUCUGGUCACCUGGCUCAAUCCCCUGUUCUACAAAAGACGGGUCAGAGGCCUCAAGAGAUACGACUCUCCAAGGCUGUCCAACCCAUAGGUAGAAAAACUGGGACUUUUUGAAGUGUUUCUGUGAGAACGAAAAUAAAUACCUAUAAAAGGCUCAGAAUAGUGUUUGAUGUAAUAAGUGUUCAAAAUGUUAGAUUGUGAUAGGUUUAUUUCAAACAUUGGGCCACCUAAAUUUCCAACAUCAAAAGUGAAGUAACAAGAAUGCUAAUGAACUACAACCUUUUAUCUAAAAUAAUGCAAUCAUCAGAGCCUUUGUGUUCCAUCUGCCUCUGUGACUACUGCCCAGUCCAAGCCACCAUUGCCUGAAUUGUCGUAGUGGCCUCCUCAUCGUUGUCCUGUUUCUUUCGAUGACUUCCAAAGACUAUUUCCCUCCCAGCUACAUCCCAUUCUCCUCACAGCAGCCAGAGAAUUUUUUCUGUAAAAAAUGUAAGUCAAAUCAGGUGCCUUCUCUUCUAGAAACCUCCAGUGGCUCCUUUUCUCAGUCAGAGUAAAAUCCACAUCCUUACCCAGAGCUACACCGCCCAACAAGAGGGACCCUGUGCUGCACCCUGGAGCUCUCCUCCUGUAAUUUGACUGUCUUGCCUACCCUGCUCUGGCCACACUGGACUCCCUGCCGUGCCCAAAUACUCCAGGCCUGUGGCCUUGGGGUCUUUACAUGCUUCUUGUGCCCUGGUUGGAACGCUUUUUCCCUGCAUGCUCAAUUACCUGCUCCCUUUCCUCCUUCAAGUCUCUUCUCAAAUGUUGCCCUAUCAGAGAGUAUUUUUGGCCACCCUACAUACCAGAGCAAACCACCAGCCCUCAUUAGCUGCCUAUCAUGCUUUAUUUUCCUUUAUAGCAUUUAUCCCCACCGGGUAUUAAAUACAUACAUAUUUACACCUUGCUAGUCUAUCUGUUCAGUACUGUACUUUUACAUGAAAGUAAAAAACAAACAAGAGACAGUUUACAUAUUAUUUCUUUAAAAAAACAUAACUUACUCUAUUUAGGUGAAUAAAUGAAAAUUGAGCCUAUCAUUUGUUCUGUGUCUCCUAAGAAUCUAAUUUAUCAACCAAAAUAAUCUUCCUGGGGAGAUGCAAUGAACACUAUGCUGCACACAUAAACACAUUGCAUCACCCCAUGUAGAUUAUUUUGGUUGAUAAAUUAGAUUCUUAAGAGGCUUGGGGGUCAAAUACUCCAGGCAUUAAAUGUCAGUUCUACUGCUUGCUAGCUAGAGUACUUUCACGGUGAAAGCUAGGGAGCUUUUACUGACUGUCCCUGAGUCAUUAUUUCCUUAUUUGUAAAACAGAAAUAACUUUGCAACGUUGUCAUAAAGAUUAGCAAAAUUGUAUAGGAAAGGCCUAGCACAGUGCAUAGGGCGUAGUAGGAACCUAAAAACUGAGAGGGAUGUUUAUUCUUGUGUCUAUAAUAGUAGCGUCAUUUAAACCCCACCAUGAAAGCAUGGCCAGAUGGUUUAAGUAAUUUCUUAUGAAAUAUGUGAUAGCCAUUAUUAUCAUCAUUCUUGACAUUAUUUUAAAAUCAGCAUUAAAGUUGGUGAGAAUGCUUUGAGAUGAAUUAUUUUUUGCAAACUGAUCUGAUUCAUGUAGAGAACUGCAAACAAAAUAUUUUGCCAAUAUACUGAUUAACGACAUAACAUACGCACUAUGUGUGCUCUUUAAUCCAGCUCCAAAUGCAAAUAAAACUUUAAAAAUGCCCUCUCCUGUCUAAGAAACAAGCCCAAACAGUAGCCAAGUACAUAUAUAGAAUUUAACUCGGGGUGUCUGAAUUUACUAUAGUUGCCCAUGGAUGGGAGAAGCAGCCUGCCAAGGCCCAGAGAUGCAGGGUUUAAUUCCCAGAGCUCAUGGGAAGCUGGCUGAUUGGUGAAUGCACCCUCACUGUGUAAUUGAACAUGUGCUCCCAGCCCAACUGCAGGAAGGAUGAAAUUUGUUAAGUGGUAUCUUUCAUGAGAUUAAAAAAGGAAGACAAACUGUCACUGGUUAUGAUAGGGUCUUAUUAAAUUUCUGCCCUACUAAUUUGGAAACUGUGAUAAUCCAGACUUGGCAUAUAUGAUACAGAACAAAAAAGUGCAAUUAAAUGCUGACACUUGGAAAUUUUACAUUAUGGUGCACCCCUAGAUGCUAGGGCCGGUUGUUGACUUAAGUUUAUUUUGUUUCAAUUCUGUGUAUCUAUUUUUAACCCUUAGGUGCCAUCUGCUUGAGUGUUGUCCUGGUUCACUUCCAGUGUAAAGCUCAGAGUGCAGGAAUAAUAUCCAAGUGCCAGCAAAACCACUUGGGUGGUCGCAAAAUGGUUUGAGGAGGAUCAUGAGGGCUGUGUUUCUGAAGAACCCACAGGGGCAGGCAGCAGGGAUGAACUGCAAAAAAGUGGCAGUCUAUGCUGCACACAUCAGCCCCACAAAAGAAUAACAAAAUCCAGGAGCAGAGAGCUGAGCUGCCGUAACUGAGAAUGGCUCCGCAGUGGGGAUGGUUUGAGAACCGUGACCUGGGUCUAGAUGGCCCCUCUUGGAGCUCACUGGGACCCUGCAUACAUUCCCUGCCUAUUGACCUCACACAGCAGUGGCUUAGCUCAGCUGAGAAAGAGGACUGUCUGUUCCUCUUUGUUGGUUUAACCAUAUGAUAUGCAAUCCUGUAAACAAAUUAAUUUCCUCCGGGACUUUUGAAAGCAUGCUAACUGCAUUAUCAUUUUGUUCUGCAUAAAGGAAGCUUAGCAAGAAAACAAUUAUGGGAUAGACUUCAAAUGAUCUCCAAAUGGCCAUAAAAUAGAGAUGCAGUCAACAGAGAUGCAGGAGAAAAAAAAAUUAACAAGGUUUUGUUUGCUAAAAUCUAGGAUUCAUUUGAUUUUAAAGCUGUGUGACCCACUUCUGUUCUUUCUCCCUUCCCUCAGCUUUCUGCACAAAUCUUUUGUCAUCCUCAUUUUUAACAUUUGUAUUCCUCCUCUACUGCCCAGAGCCUUUCUACUCUGUGUUCUCCAAUUCAUCCUAAAAUCAAGACCAAGUUAGAAUUCUCGAACUUGGCCUAUUCUGAGAAAAAACUGACAUGGCUGGAACAGGGAGCUUGUGUGAAUAUUCCCAAUUGUGAACAUGGAAGCUAUGAAUUGAGAUGGCAGAACCACAAGAUGGAAGUACGUUGGAUUUCUGAGUCACCACCUGGAGGAGAGCUUCCCUGCAGCAUUGCUGCAAUCUGAUGUGAACUAGAUAUUAAUCUUGAUCAUGUCGACUUGAACCUAAUUCAGGCCUAAGACAUAAUAUAUACUGCAUAAUAUAUGCUGUAUAAUGAUAAUAUAUUUAUGCAGUCUUUAUUGAUAUGAGUAAUGGUUUAUCUCAGUUUUAUAAUAAAAAUCUCUCAAAGAACAUUGGCUCCAAGGAAUAACAAUCACAAAAGGAUUACAGCUUUGUUUAACACUUUUUGCAAAUCCUUGAAGCUCAUCUUUCUCAUUGUUUCUAAUCCCAAUAGCCAGCCUAAACCUUUUGGUGUAAUCUCAUGUAUUCUGACCUCUGUUAUUUCCAGCUGCUUAAUGAUCUUCAUAUAAAUUGUACGGGAAAUGAAGCAAAUGUAAUUACAGUGUCUGACAGCCCUGAUGCAGAUAAAUAGGUGGGAGUCUGGCCAAAUGUCUCCCCAAGCUAGCCUUUGGUGUCUUUCACUCACAGCAGAAAGAAAUAGGUCAUAAAUUACAGCACUGAUUUGUUCCAAUGAUAUCAUUAGCUCCUGGAAAACAAGGAUCAUGAAAAACCCAUUUCAAAUGAACAUAUGAGUCAAUACCAACCGAGCAUCUUUUGGAACAGAUCCCUUAUAAAUUCACACUAGAAUUCUGACUCCUAAGUGAAUAUCUGUGGAUCUUCAGAACGUAGAAGACUUAGCUCUAGCCCAUGCAUCAGUCCCUUCAGACCAUAGAGUCAUAACCAGGCCUACUGAAAGAGCUGGUUACAUGGGACAGUCAGAGAUUUACCUAGGUGAGAAAAUAAAGAUUAGAUGGUUUGAAGCAGAGUUCUAGCCCUUCCAAAUCAGACCUCCAACCCCUUUCUUAAUUCUAUAGUUUGUAGUUUUCAAAGGAGAAGUUGUAAUAAAGAGUAAGUAAACUAACUUCUUUUUUUCUUAUGGUUUUUGUUUGAUAAUAUGAGGAUAAAAGCAAUACCCUUCUUUGACCUAUCCCAGGAUAAAAUGCAGGUGGAGAAAAGGUUUUCCGUAUUGUCUUUAGCCUUGACACAACAAAAUAGGAAAAGGAAUUUUCCGAUCUGGGUCGAGUAGAUGCAAAGAAGUGUUUUAAGGUACAUUUGUAGAGCACACUCAGCACUUGGGGACUGAGAUGCCUCAGGAGAAGCUAGAGACCUAAUGUAGGGAUAUAGAGGCCAGGAGGACACACUGGAACACAGAAGAUGACAGCUUUUGAAAGAGCUCAAGAUUCUAAUUUCUUGAACCAGAAGACAGAUUCUCCUCCAUGUCCAUUCACACUUUCAGACUUUACUCUGCAUUAGCCCUGUGUUCCCCACACCUACUUCUGGACCCCUGGGUGGUUACAUACUCUGACUUCAUCAACCCUGAUCCUUAUUAUAGUGAUAUGAAAUUUAAAAAUUGGCAUCUUCCACAGCCAAUUCUGGUCACUAUUCUUGUUACUUUAACUGAUAUGCAAUAAAGAAUAUGCCUGACUUUGUCCCUGGUUCCUGGGAAGUAGCAUCAAAACCUUUAGAAUUUCUUAAGUGGUAGGAGUGUCUAUUAUUCAUGGUGAACUCCUGGGAUCAAACUUGAUAGUCUGUGCUAAAGAGAUGACUCAGGACAGGAGCUGGCUGCUCCUGCCAGAAAGACCAACCAUGUGAUUAGAGGGUGGGGCCUUUGAGCUGGGUGAUAUCAGCUCAGUCUCCAGGGAGCCAAGGGGAGCUAGAGAUUAAAUUCACCUGCAAGGAAGGCCAAUGAUUCCAUCAAUCAUGAUUGUGUAAUGAUACCUCAAUAAAAACUCUGGGCACCAAAGCUCAAUUGAGCUUCACACGUUGUUAAUAUUCUGAUAAUGUCACACAUCGAUAUUCCAGGAAGGUAAUGCAUCCUUACUCUUUGGGGAUAGAACAACAGAAGCUUUGUGUUGAACUCCCCUAGACCUCAUUACAUGUGUAUCUCUUUCCCUUUGGCUGGUUCUGAUGUGUAUCCUUUUGCUGUAAUAAGACUACAACUGUAAUUUAUAGGAUGUUCUUGAGUUCCAAGAGUCAUUUUAGUGAAUUAUUAAUCCUGAGGGGGUUAUGGGAACCACCAAAUUUGUAACAAGCUGGUCAGGAGUAAGAGUGGCCUGUGAGCCUUUGAACUUGUGUCUGAUGUCUUUAGUUUGUGUAGUCUUGUGGAAAACUGUGUCCCUAACCUGUAAAGUAACUGGUGUCAAAAGUCAGUGAAAUUAGGCAUAAUUAGAACUCAUGGACAUCCACACCCAUUCCACUUCAGUCACAUGCUUCCAAGGCCUCACUGAGUUCCUUUUACACAUCUAUCUUCUCUACUUUGGUUCUUAUUCCCUAUGAUGGCAAAAAGAAAUACAAAUGGACUCUAAGAUGAUGGUGACUCAUGAUGCCUGCUCCCUUCAUUGCUGCAGAUCUUUGGUUCUUAUUAUCUCGUUUUACACAUCUAUCUUCUCUACUUAUGAAUAAUAUUCCACUCUGUGAUCAUACAAUGACCUAUCCCAGCUAUCAAACCAUUCCUGUCUUUGCACGUAUCCUUUAACCACAAUGAGACAUUUGAACUGUUAACUUUUUCAAAUAUCAGCUUUUGUCUUUCUCAUUAUCUUUCCUGUUCAAACUGAACUCCAUAAGUGAUCUCUUAAAUUAACCUUAUACAAGUAUUCUUGGUCUUCUGUCACUCUUGCCUUUCUGGACACUUGUCACACAAAACCAUAAUUAAGAAUUAAUCCUAACAUAUUCCUGAACCCUUCUCACACCUGAUUUGCUGGACAUCUGUUUAAAAUCAUUCAAGUAUGCUAUAUUAAUUGAUCGUCUUUAUUUCAAGUGAUAGAAAAUCUACCCCAUUAUCUUAGGCUAAAAACUGUAAAACACUGAUGAAAGAAAUGUCUCAAAUAUAAAUGGAGAAAUAUACUAUGCUUAUGGAUUUAAGACUCGGUGUUGCGAAAGUGGCAAUUCUUGUUCAAAUUCAGGUAUUCAACCCAAUGUCAAUCAGAAGUCUAUAUUUCUUUUGUAUAACUUGACAAGCUAAUUUCGAAAUUUGCAUGGAAAGCCAAAGCAAAAAAUAGCCAAAAUCACUUUGAAAAUGAAAAACAAAACCAGAGGACUCAUCCUACCUGAUUUCAAGAUUUGCUAUAAAGUUUAUCUAACCAAGACAAUGUGGUAUUAGACAAAUGAUAGACACAUGAUAGACUCUGUUCAAUGGAACCGAACAGAGAGUCUAGAAAUAGUAUACAGUCAAUUGAUUUUCAACAAAGGUGCAAAGACAAUUCAAUAAGGAAAGAGUUUUUUUUUCCAGCACAUUGUGCUAGAAAAAUUGGACACUCAUAUGCAAAAGAUAAACCUUGAACUAUACCUUACACUAUAAAAAAGUAUUCAAAAUAGAUCAUAGGCCUAACAUAAAGCCUAAAAAUUUAAUAUUGCUAGACGAAAACAAAAUCCUUGUGAUGUGGGGUUAGGCAAAGAUUUCUUAAAUACAAACCCAAAAGCAUGAUCCAUAAAAUUAAAAAUUUGAUAAAUUAGACUUCAUUUAAAUUGAUAAUGUCUGUUCAUCAAAAGACAUCGUUAAGAAAAUAAAAAGACAAGGCAGAGUCUAGGAGAAAUAUUUGCGAAACACACACCUAAGAAAGAACUUGUAUCCAGAAUACACAGAAAACUCUUAAGACUCAAUGAUAAGAAAACAAUCCACCCAAUUAAACGUGGGCCAAAACUGUGAAUAGUUACUUCACCAAAGAAGGUCUAUGAAUAGCAAAUAAGUACAUGAAAAGAAGUUCAAUAUUAUUAGUCAUUAAAAUCAAACUAAAACAACAACGAGAUGACACUAUACAUUUAUUAGAACAGAGGAAAAAAAAACAAUUGCAAAUGCUGGAGAAGAUGCUGAACCACCGGAACUUUCAUACAAUACUGGUAGGAAUGCAAAUAGUAUAGCCAUGGUAGCAUUUGAACAAGACAAAGAGACAGAGAUAAAGAAAAAUACAGACAAAAUGUGUUGAAGAUGGAAAGGAAAGAAAAAAGGCAGAACAGAUAGACUAUUAUUAUUCUUCCUUUCUAUACCUUCCUGUCUGCACCAAUUCCUAGAUCUCACAGAAAGAUAUAACCUGGAGAAAAUGAGCAGGCAUAUGAUACAUCCAGACAAUCAUAUACAGCACAUGUGAACUUCAGAACAACCUUAUAUAGUUGGGCAGGAUAGUUCUUGUCCUGUUACAGAUGUGAAAUUCACCGAUAUAUGCAACAUAUUUAGUAGACAUCUACAGGGUUCUCCAUGCGCCCCAUAAAUUCUACCUGUUCUCUAAUUAUUCCCUUGGAGGAAAGUCUUUCCUUCAAAGACUCACAAUUCUGUAGGAGUUCAGGGACCAUCCUGUGUUUCUGGCAGAGCUGAAAUGUAUCCUGGACCACAGAAUGGAGGAUGUCCUCAUGGUCUGGGUUGGAUGGAGGCUUGAGUGAAUUCUCACAGCACAGACAAAUGUUAUUUUCUCUGGACAAUUUAAAAACAGUGGUGACCACUUUCUACUUUUGGUUUCCCCAUGAUGGCAAAAAGAAAUACAAUUGGACUCUAAGAUGAUGGUGACUCAUGAUGCCUGCUCCCUUCAUUGCUGCAGAUCUUUAGUUCUUAUUCUCUAUUAUCUACCUUGUCCCUUCCUUCUAUAAUCUCCCCAGCUCCUGAUAUCUAAAGGCAGGACGUCUCAACUCUCUAUCUUAAACUUAAACCAGCUGCACAUCUUCAUGCCAUUCAGCUUUUCAAUGUAACUGUCAAGUACCUGCAGCCUUUCUUUUCUGGUUCUGCAUUGGAUGAUUGAUGUUUCAUUGACCUUGUGGAGGCAAGAGGGUACAGAUAAGCAGUAAAGACUCCAGGAUACCAGUGAUGACAUUAUAUGAUGCUAAAGAGUGUGUGUGUGCGCGCUCGCGUGUGUGUGUGUAAUGGGCACAGCCCUAUUUUACUUUUGAGACUCCGAGACCCAGUGAUAAGUGAAUUGGGCAAGGCCACACUAAGAAGACAACUGCUGCCAUCUUGGGCUUGAAGAGAUUCAUCUUAGAAUACUGAAGGGAGAAUUUUCCCCUCCACCUUUACAAUCCCUGAUUUGGAAAGAUCUUCUCCUGUGAUAAUUAACUGGUCCCAGGCGUUGCCCUACUCAGCAGCAAUGGAUGGGUAGGAGGGAAACCUGGAGAUAAUAAUGGCAGCUUUCAGGGAAUCCCAUCCUGAAGACAUUACCUUCAAGACCAGAAAGAAAAGUUAUGCUCUCAUCAUUUUCCUGCAUGUUGGCUCUGCUACUCAGCCGUUUACCCCUACCCCAUCCUUCCCAACAAUGAGGAGGUGUUGAGUUACCUUGCUAAAGAGACUGAAUGAUGCUGCCACCUUUGUCCUAUAAGGAACUACUUGGUUUGAAUUUCUCCAAGUCUACGCCAAACUCCUGAAUAAGUUUGGCCCACCUUUGGUUUAUACUCUUUAACCAGCCCUGCUUUAACUAGGCUCCUGUCUGCCUGAGAAAUAUGUCCCUUUCCAGACACCUGUUUGUCCUCUCCAUAGGCCUGGUAUGACCUGGGCAAUGUGACACCCAGAACAUGCCUGGAUCUGUACCUUAUCACUAACCAAAUCCAUGUAGGAAUACUAACUAUUUGAAUUCCUUAGCUCAGUAUCUGAGUCUGAAUAUGCAUAGAUUAAUAUUUCCCAAAUAAUCUGAUUCCAUUAGCGAUAAUUUGAGAAAUAUCUUGGGACAGCUGGAAAGACUUCAGACCUUUUCCUUAGUCAAACUACAAUGCUUUCAAAAGUUUUCUAGCACAGUUUGGCCUGCAAACAAAUUUAGUUCAUUUCAGUAGGAGGUAACAAAGCUUUCUGUACCUGCCUUCUUCUGGUGUAGUUCUUGUUUGCAGUUUAUUUCUCUGCAAUGUCAUAGGGGGAAGCCAGGUAAUAAAUAGAUACAGAUAGUAAACAGACUCCUAAGUAUUUAAUGGGGUUGGUCGGAUUUACAGCUCCAGUGUCGUAACACAGAAUUACCCAAUUCCUUCAGCUGUUUAGUAAGUUUCACAUUAUCACACAAAUCAAGGGUGACUCUCUUAAAGUCGUGGUGAUCAUCUAAACGCUUUUCUUCAUUAGAUGUCAAAGUAGGAGAAAGACAACUAUUUUGGAAGGUUCUCAGAUGUGAAACACCAGAAAAUAUCUGUGAAUCUACCUUCCACUCUCUAUCGCCAUACCCAGGAAUGUAUUUCCUUUGUUAUAUUGACACUGGCAACUCCCAGAUCUGAUUGCCUUGAUGUAGCCUGGAGCUACGAGAGGUCCUUAGAAUCUGUUCUUGCCAGUGGCCCCUUUGCAGAAUUAAUAAAAAAUCUUAUGCACAGUAAUAGCAAAGCUUUGCUCCCUCUACUUGACUUCUGGGAAAGCUUGGCUCAUUGGUAAACAUGUAAUGUUCUUUAUAUUAAAACAGAGUUCUGAUACUCUCAGAGUUGGGGCAAAUUGUUAGUCUUUCACCAAAACUUGAAAGGCUUUCUACGUUAAGAUCCAAGCUCCUGCCUUAUAAAUAUUCUGAAUUACAGUCAAUUUUGGAAUAUUCUUGUGGCAGAGAAAGUAACAUGCACCAAAAAGUCCAGGCUUGUGUUGAGUUAGAGCCAUGCGACUAGUUCCAGCCAAUAAUACAUGUGUGUGAGUGAUACAUGCCCCUUCUGACAGAAGCAGUGAAAAAUUUAUGAACAGUAUUUUAGUUUUCUUUCCUCUACUAUGGCAACUUAAGUUGUGUGAACCAGAUAAUGGAGUUGCAGGAUGAUGGUUCCUACUCAGCCUGGGUCUCUGAGUGACUGUAUGGAAUAAAGCUCUGCCGACACUUGUUAGACAUGACCAUGUGUAACAAAUAAGCCUUUGUUAAGCCACUGACCAUUUGGAGUAAUCUGUUACAACUGCAGAACAGAGUAUAUCCUGAUUAACAGAAUUCCUACUUCCCAAAUUUCUGCUUCUUUUCCUGGCUGCAUAAUUUGUCCAAGCUGUCUGUCGUCUAUAUACUCCUUUACCCUAUUUAUGGCUUACACUAUUUCAUCUGACCUUCAUGGUCUAUUCUAAAUGUCGUCUCCUUCCCAAGGAUCUCCAGUUUCCAGUUGGAUGGGAUACCCUCCUCUUUUCUGCUAAUAGAAAGAGUAGUAUACCUCUCUUAAGGCAAUCAUCUCAUUUGCUUCUCUUCCUCAUCCAUUUAACUCAGAGCUCCUGGAAGGUGAAGACCAUGUUUGAUUCACCCAAACACCUCAAGGCCCCAGCUGAACGUUCUGUGGUAGCUACAGGUGGAUAUUAUUUAGUUUGAAUUGAGUUUUCUCCUCUCAUGAGGUUAGCAAUGCAUAGGCCAAUGUAGACAGCACUGUGAAAUGAUUUUAAAUAAGUUAUCUGCCUGAAACAUAGCAACAGGGAGAGAAGAAAACAACAAAAAAAAAACCCUUUACAUGAGUAAGUGUAAUUCUCAGAAAAUAAGAGAAAUAACACAUCAGAAAACACAUAGGAAGAAAAGUGGUGCUUGCUGAAGAACAUCAGAAUGGGAGUUAGGAAACAAGCUUCUAGAUUGGACUACUUUGAAAACCAAUUCUGUGAUCUGUCUGGAACUCAGGUUCUUCAUCUUGUAUAUGGGAUCAGAAGCUGGACGAUAAAUUAAUUAAGGUAUUUCAUUCUGGAAUUUUACUUACAGAAACCCCAGGUGCUGAGAUGUUUUCCAGGACUAGGAUGAAGUCUCCACCUUGUGGCUAAAUUAAGUUCUGCAGUCACUCAACAUGAUGAACAUCAAGAUCCAAGUCAAUUUAGUGGAGCAGCGUAGAUUAGGUCAAUAGCUUCUGUGAGAAACAGAAACACAUCUUCUUAAUGCAAAUGCAGCAGGACAGGUUCAUUCACAGCCAUUUGGAAAGGAAUUUAAACUUGGACAAGGAACCGUGCAAAUAUAUUUAUUCAUUCUUUUACUAAAGAGAGGGACUGUCUUAUCUUUUCCAGCCUUGCAUUCCUUGGCUUGUGGCCCUUUCCUCCUUCUUCAAAGCCAGCAAUGUAGCAUCUUGCUUCAGCCCUCACAUUGCCUCAUUCUUAUCUGUCAAAUCUCUCUCUGCCUCACUCUUAUAAGGACACCUAGGUGAUCCAGAAUAAUCCCAUCUCAAGAAUUUUUAAUUUAAUCACUUUUACCACAUAACAUCCACAGUUUCCGGAGAUUAGGAUCUGGAUAUCUUUGGAGACCAUUAUUAGUCUACCACUGGGUGAAAGUGAAGGGGGCUGGGGAAAGUGUUUCCAGGAACACAGUGGUCUCUCCAGUGCCCCUUCCACCACUGCCAUCAUUGGUGAAAUCAUUGGUAGCAGCUGUGAAGUGUGACAGAGACUGACUUUUCUCCAGUUCCAGGGGCUCCAACUGGCAAAAGCUCAUGACUGAUACCAUCCCCCUGACUUCAGUGAUCUGCUCAGGAAUGGGCACUUGAACAAAGUCAGACCAGCUCAGGAGCCUCUACCCUCCACCCCCAUAGUUGUGGAAAAAGUUUUCAUAUCAGCUAUUCUGGAGGUAGCAAAAAGAAGGCGGAAAGAUUACAGCCAUUUUUGUUUGUUUGCUUGUAAGCCUUGUGGUUCUAUCUGACUUUUUAAAUUAUGUGCAUGAAUUACUUGGAGACAUUUUUUAAAUUGAAGUGGAAAAAAUAAUUUAAUUUAAAAGGGAAAACUAACAAAAGUAAUAUAAUUUCAGAGUAUUGAUUAUUGUCCAGAAUAUGCUUUGUUUUAUUAUUUUGCUAAUAAAAUUAAAUUCACUGUACAUUGUUCCAGAAGUAUGUUGACUCUAAGGAAAAUGUUUUAAAUGGAAUAUCCUGAGGAUAUCAUUGUGGGGAAGUAUUGGAUGUCCUUGAUCUUUUCUGUUCAGUGUGGAUGUUUUCUAGAAGACAGCACAUCUUAAAGAUAUUUCAGGCUUCUUAUGAAGGAAACAGCAAACCCUUUACAAACUAUAUUUUCUAAUUUUCUUGUCUUUUCUUGAAGUACCACUGUACAAUUCUUGUUGGAGAGCUACUGUAAUUAUUCAUGACAUGUUUUUCUUUGGCCAUUUCUCUAUAGCUUCUACUCAGUGCAGCAACCUCAUAAGAACAUGAGGUCACCCUCUCUGCACAUGGAUUUUGAAAGCUGUCAUAACUUCAUGGGUUCAAAGCCAGGUUCUCUUGGGACCUGCUUCCAUGCAAUGGCGGUCAGCUCAUCAUCUGCUGUGGUUCAUUCCCUCAGCUUUUGACUCGGUCCUGGGUGUGCCUGAAAGAGAACCCUCUUCCCUCAUUGCUGUCCUGAAAAACAAAACUCUCUUCUAGUUCUCACUAGAAGAGUGACAUAUUGUUUUGGGGGAGGAAAGUAGUGUCUCCAUGUGUCAACUCGUUUCUCUCCAGGCACACAGUGCUCCAAAGUAAGGGAUGAUUACAAGCUAUAUGACAAUGAAUGAACAAAUUAUUCAAAGUGAAAGGGUUUUAAAGAUCAGUGAGUUCAAUGUCUCCUCAAAUGCGGAAAUGCCUGUCAGAAACUCCCUGACACAGAUACAUCCCUUGCAUCAGAUACAGUAUUUCCAGUUACAGGAAAGUCAUGACUGAAAUGCAUGGAAUCAGAUUUUUCAGAUUGAGAGGUCUAAGGUAGUAUUUCUCAAUGUGACGUCAGUGGAACACUUGCAGCAGGGUCACCUGGGAUGUUCAUUUAGGAUUCAGAUCCUUGGGCCCUGUCAGCUACUGAACUACACUGUCCAGGGAUAAAAUCCAAGCAUAUGCCUAGAAGAAAGACUUAUUAACUACACUGAAGAUUGAGAUUAAUUGUACUGGACUAACUCUCCUAUACAAUUCUCAAAAAACCUGACAUCUAUUUGUUGAAUGUUAUGGCUUCUCCCUAGAAAAAGACGUAUGUGUGCCUAAGUUGCCUGCUCCUCCACCCCCGACAUUAUCAUAUAUUUAAUUAGAAAAGUCAAUGCCAUUGACUUUUUAAAGCCAAGGGCCUCCUAGAAUUAUGUUUUGCAAAAUGCGCUAUACACAUUGCUUAUGGUAUAUCAAGUAGUCCACGUAUGGUUAGCCAGUUUUGGAGAUAAAAAUGAUGAAACAAUCCUAUUUACAUAUGUUUUAUGAAUUUGAAAUGUAAUAUUAAUUAUACUUUUUAAAUUCCACUGCAUUUUCAACAAUUAUAUCAUCAUAAAAGUUGUAAAUGUGCUCCAAGAACUGCGUUGGUAAAUUUGUUUCAGCUGUCAUUCAGCUAACAGAGUCUUGUGAAAAUUUUCCAAUGUCGCUUGUAUUCUAUUAGUUGUGAUUCGUGUUCUUAAAUUGCUGCGUGGAAACUAAUCUAUGGUGACAAUAAUCAGGGCUUGGGAAGGCUUGAUUGUAAACAGGCUCAUGACCCUGGGAACUUUUGGGGAUGAAGCAAUUAUUUUCUUAUAUUGAUUAUGUUGGUGGUUCCAUGGAUGUAGCUUGCCAAAACUCAUUAAACGAUACACUUCGAA